CGCCUGUUUAUUAAAAACAUGGCUUUUUGUUAAUUAUUUAAGGUCUGGCCUGCUCCAUGAUGAAGUUAAAUAGCCGCAGUAUUUUGACUGUGCAAAGGUAGCAUAAUCAUUAGUUUUUUAAUUGAAAGCUGGAAUGAAGGGUUGGAUGAGAAAACAUCUGUCUCACUUUAAUUUAUAUUGAAUUUUAUUUUUAAGUAAAAAAGCUUAAAUAUAACAAAAAGACGAGAAGACCCUAUAGAGUUUAAUAAAUUAGUAGUAUGGGUAUUUAAGGGUUUAAAAUUCUUAUGUGUCUAAUUUAUUUUGUUGGGGUGACAAAGAAUUGAAUGGAACUUCUCUAUCUUUUAACAUUAUUUUAUGAGUAUAUGAUCCUUUAUUUAAGAUUAAAAGAUUAAAUUACCUUAGGGAUAACAGCGUUAUUUUUUCAUAGAGUUCUUAUCGAUGAAAAUGAUUGCGACCUCGAUGUUGGAUUAAAGUUAAUUCUUGGUGCAGAAGCUAAGAAAUUGAGUCUGUUCGACUUUUGAAACUUUACGUGAUCUGAGUUUAGACCGG
rnacentral:rRNA from 1 species